rnacentral:rRNA from 1 species
CGCCUGUUUAUCAAAAACAUCGCCUCCUGUUAGUCAACAAUAUAAGAGGUCCCGCCUNCCCAGUGACCUAGUUCAACGCCCGCGGUAUUUUGACCGUGCGAAGGUAGCGUAAUCACUUGUCUUUUAAAUAAAGACCUGUAUGAACGGCAACACGAGGGCUCAACUGUCUCCCCCUUUUAAUCAGUGAAAUUGAUAUCCCCGUGCAGAAGCGGGGGUACUAACAUAAGACAAAAAGACCCUGUGGAGCUUAAAACACAAGAGAGGAGUACUCCCAACUCGUUACAUAAUUAACCAGACCACGUACCCUACACCCCUCUCCACUGUUUUUGGUUGGGGCGACCGCGGUGUAAUAAAUAACCCCCGCGAGGACAGGAACCACUGUUUUUACAAAGAAGACCCACAGCUCUUCUAUACAAAACUUUUGACCCUUAGAUCCGGUAUUACCGAUUAACGAACCAAGUUACCCCAGGGAUAACAGCGCAAUCCUCUCCCAGAGCCCAUAUCGACGAGAGGGUUUACGACCUCGAUG